rnacentral:rRNA from 1 species
UACGUAGGGGGCUAGCGUUGUCCGGAAUCAUUGGGCGUAAAGCGCGUGUAGGCGGUCCGGUAAGUCCGCUGUGAAAGUCGAGGGCUCAACCCUCGAAUGCCGGUGGAUACUGUCGGGCUGGAGUGCGGAAGAGGCGAGUGGAAUUCCUGGUGUAGCGGCGAAAUGCGCAGAUAUCAGGAGGAACACCUAUUGCGAAGGCAGCUCGCUGGGACGUUACUGACGCUGAGGCGCGAAAGCGUGGGGAGCGAACAGG